AACUCGUAAAAGGCUUUGCCAAACUUAGAAAAUAAAUGAUGUUUUGUGAAUGACAACAUAGUGAAUCCGUGACAUGAGGCCUUGAUGUUUAUAUAUAAAGAAAGCUGCUGGUCCAAGAAAGUGAAUCUGUUGUUUUUCUCAUCAAAUGUUUCAGUCAAGUCAUAAGGUUUAUCUCAGAGGAGUGAAUCUGAGAACACAAAGCUGGUUUGCAGUUCAUAUCAUCAUUUGUUGGUAUUUUGGUGAAUUUACUUUGUGUUCUCAGGUCACCCCUUUGAGCCAACCUGUUGACAUUCACCAAAAGCUAUUUACACAGUUUUUGAAGAGAAAAUGACCCUAUUGUGUGAAUUCUUAUAUACAUCAGUUUUAGGAACGCAAAAAGUAGAAGAUUCCAUUGGCAAGAUAAGACUCACCACGUCUUCUUUUUUUUCUUCAAGUUGAUGGUACUGAUUGUGUUUAACUAUGGUAUAAAUUGGAGGUUCUUUCUAUUUUUGUGUUUAUUUUGGUGCAGGAAAAUUAAGGACAAUGGAAAGUUAAAAUACAAAUGUAAGCAAUUUUCAACAAGUUCUUCUCUUGAAAAAGAAAAAAAUGCUGGGAAGAAAUUAAGUUGUCUCAAUUCUAAAGCUUAAGUGCUUAAUAAUUGAUGUGGCAAUGUUGGUGGAAGGCAUUUCAAGUACAAAGAAAGCAUAAAGUUGAAGAUGAUUUUUUUCUUUCCUGGUGUAUUGUAAAUGUUUCAUCUCAAAAUAAUAUAAUUUAAAUAAGAUAUGAAUAAUAGGAUUGAGAUAGUAUUUCUAUCAUUCAUUUUUAGUUCAA